GAUCCUGACUCAGGAUGAACGCUAGCUACAGGCUUAACACAUGCAAGUCGAGGGGCAGCAUUUUAGUUUGCUUGCAAACUGAAGAUGGCGACCGGCGCACGGGUGAGUAACACGUAUCCAACCUGCCGAUAACUCCGGGAUAGCCUUUCGAAAGAAAGAUUAAUACCGGAUAGCAUACGAAUAUCGCAUGAUAUUUUUAUUAAAGAAUUUCGGUUAUCGAUGGGGAUGCGUUCCAUUAGUUUGUUGGG
rnacentral:rRNA from 1 species